UACGUAGGGAGCUAGCGUUGUCCGGAAUCAUUGGGCGUAAAGCGCGUGUAGGCGGCCCGGUAAGUCCGCUGUGAAAGUCGGGGGCUCAACCCUCGAAUGCCGGUGGAUACUGUCGGGCUAGAGUGCGGAAGAGGCGAGUGGAAUUCCUGGUGUAGCGGUGAAAUGCGCAGAUAUCAGGAGGAACACCAAUUGCGAAGGCAGCUCGCUGGGACGUCACUGACGCUGAGACGCGAAAGCGUGGGGAGCAAACAGG
rnacentral:rRNA from 1 species